UGCCUAGCAACUCCUAUCCCUACCUCCUCGUGGUACUGGCCAGGGUACAAGCAACCUUGAGGAAGAUUAGG
rnacentral:ribozyme from 1 species